rnacentral:rRNA from 1 species
CCUACGGGAGGCAGCAGUGAGGAAUAUUGGUCAAUGGUCGGGAGACUGAACCAGCCAAGCCGCGUGAGGGAUGAAGGUACAGAGUAUCGUAAACCUCUUUUGUCAGGGAACAAAGGCGGGGACGUGUCCCCGGCUGAGUGUACCUUAAGAAAAAGCAUCGGCUAACUCCUUGCCAGCAGCCGCGGUAAUACGGAGGAUGCGACCGUGAUCCGGAUUUAUUGGGUUUAAGGGGUGCGCAGGCGGUCUGUUAAGUCAGCGGUCAAAGCCCGGGGCUCAACCCCGGCCCGCCGUUGAAACUGGCAGUCUCGAGUUGGAGAGAAGUAUGCGGAAUGCGCGGUGUAGCGGUGAAAUGCAUAGAUAGCGCGCAGAACUCCGAUUGCGAAGGCAGCAUGCCGGCUCCACACUGACGCUGAGGCACGAAAGCGUGGGUAUCGAACAGGAUUAGAUACCCUGGUAGUC